CAGAGAUAAAGCAUAGCUUAUUGUUCACAGCCAUUCCAUUCCUGGGUAUUUAUCCAUGAUAAAUGAAAGCAUAAAUGUUCAUAGCAACUUUAUUUGAAAUAGUCCAAAACAGUAAACAACCCCAAUGUCAAUUAACAGAUGAAUGGGUAAACAAAUUGUGGCAUAUACACAUAAUGGAAUAAUACUCAGCAAUAACAAGGAGUAACUUAUGGAUAUCUGCAAAAUAUCCAAAAUUUUGGAUGAAUCUCAAUAAUGUUGGUGAAAAAAAUCCCAAACCAAAAAACAGUACAUACCAUGAUUUCAUUUAUAUAAAAUUCUAGAAAAAUGCAAACUAAUCUACAGUGACAGUAAAUAGGUCAGUGAUUGCCUGAGGACCCAGCUGGGGAGGAGGGAAGAGGAGAUAUGGAUUGCAAAGGGCUUGAGGUAACUUUACAGGGUGAUGGAUAUUUUCAUAAUUUUGACUGCGACAAUGCUUUCACAAGUAUAUACAUAUGUCAAAACUUACAAAUUUUAUAAACAUGUAGCAUUUACUGAACAUAAAUUAUGCCUCAAUUAAGGUAGAAAAAAAUAAAGAUAAUAGUCCAGAAAAUAGACACAUAUACACACACAAAUCAAAACCUAAACAGAUUUCUGCUGCUGCGCAGCACAGGAAAAACAGUUUGGAGUUUCAGUCGAGCUAGGUUAACUUCCUGCUGAAACAAAAAACAAACACUCAUCAGGAAAACAGGAGAAUCCACCUUCUCCACAAACUACAUUUAUGAUGUUAAGAACAUAAUCCAAAAUUAUUAGACAUAUGAAAAAGCCAGAACACUUUGCUCCAUAAUGAACAGAAAGGCAAUCAACUGAGACCAUCACUAAGAGGAGCCCAAGAAGCUAUUACUACUAUGUUUAAGAAUAUAAAGGAAAAUAUAUUCACUGGCAAUCUCAGGAGAGAAACAAAACUAUAAAAACAAACCAGAUGGUAACUCUACAACUGAAAAAUAUUAUAUCUGAAAUUCAAACUUAACAGCAUGUGUAGCAGAAAGCUCAGUGACCCUGAAAAUAGAUCAACAUAAAUUAUCAAAUUGGAAGAACGGACAGAAUAAAGACUGAACAAAAUGAGCAGAACAUCAGUGACCCUAUGGGACAAUAUCAAAAGGUCUAACACAUGUUUAAUUGGAGUCUCAGAAGGAGAGGACAGGAUAGGGAAAAAAAUAUUCAAAGAAAUAAACAGCUAAAAACUUUCCAAUUUGGCAAAAGACAUAAAUACACCUUAAAGAGGUUCAGUAACCUCCAAGCACUGACAAAAAAAAAAGAAAGAAAACCACACCUAGGCACAUCCUAGUUAAACUGAUAAAAGCCAAAUAUAAACAGGAAGGCCUGAAAGCAACCAGAGAAAAACAGCACAUGAGAUCCAUGGAACAACAGACAAAUGACAUCUGACUUCUUAUCAGAAACAAUGGAGGUUAUGAGAUAGUGGAAAAAUAUCUGUAAAGUGCUAAAAGGAAAAACAUAUAUCAGUACAGAAUUCUAUAAAUUUUUUAUGGACUUUUUUGAGAAAUGGCUGAUUUUACAUCUCAGUCAUGACAUAUACAAGAUGAACCUGACUUGUCCCAUCAGGUAACAAGGAACCUAUAUCAACAAUCACUAGGAUCAAGUCAAAAGGAAUAGAAGCAAAGAUGAAAAGGCUCCUGUUGGCCAGGCGUGGUGAAUUUCAACGUAUGUAGCUGCCAUUAGUAGCCGUAUUUAGGAUGAGAUGGAUUGGGAGGCGCAAACCAAGGAUGCGUAAUAAUCAUUAUGAAAUAAAUAAUAAGUUAUCUGGGAAAUGGCCAUUUGUCCAACAUUUACUAAGUGCCUACUAGGCAUUGUACACCAUUAUAAGUGCUAGGAAUGAAACAGUGAAUAAAAUUGACAAAAAUACAUCUUCUUGUGGAUUACAUUCUAGUAGAGGAAGAAAACAAACUAAAUGAGUAAAAUAAAGUGCAGUCAUAAUGCCCUGGCGGAAAAGUGGAAUACAACACAAUGGGCAGAUGAACUGUAUCCUGUUCCCUCGCUUCAUUCUCAAAUGAAGGGCAAAUGCAGGGUGUCUAAGGUUCUUUAUCAACAGCAAAGACGUGGGGGUAGGAAUGGAGGAGGUGAAACCAGGCCAGUGCCCAGCGGACGACCCUAUCUCAGACUUGACUUCAGGAACUAGGGAUGUUGGAAUAUGGGUCCCUAUUAUUCUCCCCCAAUCUGGAAUGGGCUGAAGAAAAGGCCCAUGUCAGAUGAUUGCAGAAAUCCCUGCUGCCCUCCUGGAACUCAGAAUCCACAUGGCAGGAUCUGAAGGCAGGAUGUGUAUAUGUAGAAGAGGCAUCACACUUUAUUUUUCAUUUGCAUUUUAUUGAUUGAUUGAUUGAAUGAUUGAUUGAUUGAGACGGAGUCUCG